rnacentral:misc_RNA from 1 species
GUGGUGUUUGGUUUGUUACGUGUGGUUGGCUGCGGCGUUUGCAACAACUUCCAUGCUUUCAGACCUCUUCAGUUGUGCAGCAAGGCUUGUAUCGCCUUGAGCGUAUUGUGGGUUUUCUGUGUUGACUACCUAAUCAAUGGUAUCGGUUGGAUUGAUCAAUGUUUCAUUUCGUCUAUCGUCGCAUUUGUGGCGUGAGAUGAACCUUGAUGCGGUCUCUUUGAUCCACCUUGUUGAAGCACAUGCUUUGACGUUGUGGCACAUUGAGCAUUGCUUGGUCUCUUGUAUACGGAACAUAUAGUGGGCAUGGAUCUAACGAUUCUUGUUUGCCCUCAUAUUAGCGUAACGCUUCUCUUACACGACUUGCUCCAUGUUUUAGCNUCGUACGGACGUGGUGCUAUGUCGAAGAGGAAUGCUACCUGGUUGAUCCUGCCAGUAGUCAUAUGCUUGUCUCAAAGAUUAAGC